AAGACUAUACUUUCAGGGAUCAUUUCACCUGGUAUGACUAGAGGGGUGUGGCUGCAAAGUGUAGCACCAGAGGUAACCACGGAGGAGCUGGGCGUUCUCUUCUGAGCGUGAAGCCGGCUUGUGGUGCUGCUUCUCAGCUGUCACACCUGGGCCCGAUAAUUUAACUUCCCUUCCUUCGGGUUGGGUGAGAGAGAGGAACGCAGGCUGAUGGC
ensembl:snoRNA U3 Small nucleolar RNA U3